rnacentral:rRNA from 1 species
UGCGUAGGCGGCCUAGUAAGUCAGAGGUGAAAGCCUACAGCUUAACUGUGGAAUUGCCUUUGAUACUGCUAAGCUUGAAUUAGGUUGAGGUUGGCGGAAUGUGACAUGUAGCGGUGAAAUGCAUAGAUAUGUCAUAGAACACCAAUUGCGAAGGCAGCUGGCUAGACCUUAAUUGACGCUGAGGCACGAAAGCGUGGGGAGCGAACAGGAUUAGAUACCCUGGUAGUCC